AACGUAGGAGGCGAGCGUUAUCCGAAUUUACUGGGUGUAAAGCGCGUGCAGGCGGUACGGUAAGUUGGAUGUGAAAUCUCCUGGCUCAACUAGGAGAGGUCGUUCAAAACUGCCGCACUUGAGGACGGUAGAGGAAGGUGGAAUUCCCGGUGUAGUAGUGAAAUGCGUAGAUAUCGGGAGGAACACCUGUGGCGAAAGCGGCCUUCUGGACCGUACCUGACGCUCAGACGCGAAAGCUAGGGGAGCGAACGGG
rnacentral:rRNA from 1 species